rnacentral:rRNA from 1 species
UUCUACCUACGGGGGGCAGCAGUGAGGAAUAUUGGUCAAUGGGAGAGAUCCUGAACCAGCCAAGCCGCGUGAGGGAAGACGGCCCUAUGGGUUGUAAACCUCUUCUGUCGGAGAACAAAACCCGGGACGUGUCCCGGGCUGCGUGUAUCCGAAGAAAAAGCAUCGGCUAACUCCGUGCCAGCAGCCGCGGUAAUACGGAGGAUGCGAGCGUUAUCCGGAUUUAUUGGGUUUA